rnacentral:hammerhead_ribozyme from 1 species
AUCCGGCUGACGAAUCCCAAAUAGGACGAAAUGCGCGUCCUGGAU